GAUGAAGAACGUAGCGAAAUGCGAUAAGUAAUGUGAAUUGCAGAAUUCAGUGAAUCAUCGAAUCUUUGAACGCACAUUGCGCCCCCUGGUAUUCCGGGGGGCAUGCCUGUCCGAGCGUCAUUACAACCCUCAAGCUCAGCUUGGUGUUGGGCCCCGCCGCCCCGGCGGGCCCUAAAGUCAGUGGCGGUGCCGUCCGGCUCCGAGCGUAGUAAUUCUUCUCGCUCUGGAGGUCCGGUCGUGUGCUCGCCAGCAACCCCCAAUUUUUUUCAGGUUGACCUCGGAUCAUGUAGGGAUACCCGCUGAACUUAAGCAUAUCAAUAAGCGGAGGA
rnacentral:misc_RNA from 1 species